UGGGGCGUGGCCAAGUGGUAAGGCAGCAGGUUUUGAUCCUGUGUACCGUAGGUUCGAAUCCUACCGCCCCAGCCA
rnacentral:tRNA from 1 species